UACAGAGGGUGCGAGCGUUAAUCGGAAUGACUGGGCGUAAAGGGCGCGUAGGCGGUUUUGUGUGUUAGAUGUGAAAGCCCCGAGCUCAACUCGGGAAUGGCGUCUAAAACUGCAAAGCUAGAGUGAAGUAGAGGUGAGUGGAAUUUCCGGAGUAGCGGUGAAAUGCGUAGAUACCGGAAGGAACACCAGUGGCGAAGGCGACUCACUGGACUUUUACUGACGCUGAGGCGCGAAAGCGUGGGGAGCAAACAGG
rnacentral:rRNA from 1 species